AACGAACGCUGGCGGCAUGCCUAACACAUGCAAGUCGAACGAGACCUUCGGGUCUAGUGGCGCACGGGUGCGUAACGCGUGGGAACCUGCACUUAGGUUCGGAAUAACUCCCCGAAAGGGGUGCUAAUACCGGAUAAUGUCUUAGGACCAAAGAUUUAUUGCCUUUGGAUGGGCCCGCGUUGGAUUCGCUAGUUGGUAGGGUAAAAGCCUACCAAGGCGACGAUCCAUAACUGGUCUGAGAGGAUGAUCAGCCACACUGGGACUGAGACACGGCCCAGACUCCGACGGGAGGCAGCAGUGGGGAAUAUUGGACAAUGGGCGAAAGCCUGAUCCAGCAAUGCCGCGUGAGUGAUGAAGGCCUUAGGGUUGUAAAGCUCUUUUACCCGAGAUGAUAAUGACAGUACCGGGAGAAUAAGCUCCGGCUAACUCCGUG
rnacentral:rRNA from 1 species